rnacentral:rRNA from 1 species
GUACCAUAACCGACACAGGUGGGUAGGUAGAGUAUACUAAGGGGCGCGAGAUAACUCUCUCUAAGGAACUCGGCAAAAUGACUCCGUAACUUCGGGAGAAGGAGUGCCUUAUUUAUAAGGUUGCAAUAACAAGAUCCAAGCAACUGUUUAUCAAAAACACAGGUCUCCGCUAAGUCGUAAGACGAUGUAUGGGGGCUGACGCCUGCCCAGUGCCAGAAGGUUAAAGAAGUUGGUUAGUGUAUGCGAAGCUGAUGACUGAAGCCCUGGUGAACGGCGGCCGUAACUAUAACGGUCCUAAGGUAGCGAAAUUCCUUGUCGGGUAAGUUCCGACCCGCACGAAAGGCGUAAUGAUUUGGAUACUGUCUCGGAGAGAGGCUCGGUGAAAUAGACUUGUCUGUGAAGAUGCGGACUACCUGCACCAGGACAGAAAGACCCUAUGAAGCUUUACUGUAACUUGAAAUUGGAAUUGGACUUUGCUUGCGCAGUAUAGGUGGGAAGCGUUGAAGAUAUUCUUGCGGGAGUAUUGGAGCUAUCAGUGAGAUACCACUCUUGUAAUGUUAGACUUCUAACUUUGAACCAUAAUCUGGUCAAAGAACAGUUUCAGGUGGGCAGUUUGACUGGGGCGGUCGCCUCCCAAAUGGUAACGGAGGCGUACAAAGGUUUCCUCUGAACGGAUAGAAAUCGUAUCUAGAGUGUAAAGGCAUAAGGAAGCUUGACUGUGAGACCUACAAGUCGAGCAGGGACGAAAGUCGGUCUUAGUGAUCUGACGGUACUGAGUGGAAGGGCCGUCACUCAACGGAUAAAAGUUACUCUAAGGAUAACAGGCUGAUCUCCCCCAAGAGUUCACAUCGACGGGGAGGUUUGGCACCUCGAUGUCGGCUCAUCGCACCCUGGGGCGGUAGUACGUCCCAAGGGUUGGGCUGUUCGCCCAUGAAAGCGGUACGCGAGCUGGGUUCAGAGCGUCGUGAGACAGCUCGGUUCAUAUCCGGUGUAGGCGUUAGAAUAUUGAGAGGAGCCUUCUUUAGUACGAGAGGACCGAGAAGGACACACCGCUGGUGUACCAGUUAUCGUGCCAACGGUAAACGCUGGGUAGCUAUGUGUGGAGUGGAUAACCGCUGAAAGCAUCUAAGUGGGAAGCCCACCUCAAGAUGAGUAUUCUCAUCACUAUAAGUGAGUAAGGUCACGGUAAGACUAACCGUUUGAUAGGCAUUAAGUGUAAAUGUAGUAAUGCAUGUGCUGAGAUGUCCUAACAGACCGAGGACUUGAAU